CUGUAGUUUCUGCGCUUCAGGUCCGCUACCUGGUGAAACUCGACUUCCGAGGUAUAACUCGAGGUGGUUAUCGGUGGUUGUUGGAGGUGGUUGGCGGUGGUUUGAAGUGGACGAGGAGGACGAGGAUUUGUGCUCGGUAUAACCCGAGGUAGUUCGCGGUGGUUCCGGGUGAUCGAGGUGAGCGAGGAAGAGGACGAGGAUGACGAGGACUUGUACACUUUCUGUGCCCCACCUAGUGAUCCACCAGUAC